AGUGAACGCUGGCGGCAGGCCUAAUACAUGCAAGUCGAACGGCAGCACAGUGGAGCUUGCUCCAUGGGUGGCGAGUGGCGGACGGGUGAGGAAUACAUGGGAAUCUGCCCAGUCGUGGGGAUAACGUAGGGAAACUUACGCUAAUACCGCAUGCGCCCUUCGGGGAAAGCCGGGGACCGUAAGGCCUGGCGCGAUUGGAUGAGCCCAUGUCGGAUUAGCUAGUUGGCGGGGUAACGGCCCACCAAGGCGACGAUCCGUAGCUGGUCUGAGAGGAUGAUCAGCCACACUGGAACUGAGACACGGUCCAGACUCCUACGGGAGGCAGCAGUAGGGAAUAUUGGACAAUGGGCGCAAGCCUGAUCCAGCCAUGCCGCGUGAGUGAAGAAGGCCCUCGGGUUGUAAAGCUCUUUUGUCCGGAAAGAAAAGCACUGGGUUAAUACCCCGGUGUCCUGACGGUACCGGAAGAAUAAGCACCGGCUAACUUCGUGCCAGCAGCCGCGGUAAU
rnacentral:rRNA from 1 species